rnacentral:lncRNA from 1 species
CUCGACAGAAAGAAAUCUCACGAGGACAACAGGCUUGCUCAGAUGAAAGGACAAGUGGAUCUUAGGAAUAAGUGUCAUGUCCACUUUGCGGCAGAGCCAGAAGGUACCAGGUCCAGUAAAUAAGGUGGACAAGCACACAGUACCAUGUUUUUACAAGGCCACCCUUCUGCUGGGUGGCCCUCAGCAGCAGCAUUCAGCACACUUCACAGAGACGCUCCAGAAGACUUCCAGAACUGCCUUGAUGAGUGGCAAGAAAAAUGGGUUAAGUGUUUUAAAAUAUUUGGUCAGCAGAAGGUGGAAAGACACUGAGAAGACAG